GCCAGCGUGGUAUAAUGGUUUGAAUGUUAGACUAUGACUCUGGAGGCCAGGGUUCAAAUCCUGGCUCAGCCA